AUGAACGCUGGCGGCGUGCCUAAUACAUGCACGUCGAGCGCACGGACGAGAAGCUUGCUUCUCUGAUGUUAGCGGCGGACGGGUGAGUAACACGUGGAUAACCUACCUAUAAGACUGGGAUAACUUCGGGAAACCGUAGCUAAUACCGGAUAAUAUUUUGAACCGCAUGGUUCAAAAGUGAAAGACGGUCUUGCUGUCACUUAUAGAUGGAUCCGCGCUGCAUUAGCUAGUUGGUAAGGUAACGGCUUACCAAGGCAACGAUGCAUAGCCGACCUGAGAGGGUGAUCGGCCACACUGGAACUGAGACACGGUCCAGACUCCUACGGGAGGCAGCAGUAGGGAAUCUUCCGCAAUGGGCGAAAGCCUGACGGAGCAACGCCGCGUGAGUGAUGAAGGUCUUCGGAUCGUAAAACUCUGUUAUUAGGGAAGAACAUAUGUGUAAGUAACUGUGCACAUCUUGACGGUACCUAAUCAGAAAGCCACGGCUAACUACGUG
rnacentral:rRNA from 1 species